rnacentral:rRNA from 1 species
UACGUAGGGCGCAAGCGUUGUCCGGAAUUAUUGGGCGUAAAGAGCUCGUAGGCGGUUUGUCGCGUCUGCUGUGAAAUCCCGAGGCCCAACCUCGGGCUUGCAGUGGGUACGGGCAGACUAGAGUGCGGUAGGGGAGACUGGAAUUCCUGGUGUAGCGGUGGAAUGCGCAGAUAUCAGGAGGAACACCGAUGGCGAAGGCAGGUCUCUGGGCCGCAACUGACGCUGAGGAGCGGAAAGCAUGGGGAGCGAACAGG